GUAUGGAAGCUUUUGAUAGUUUGCCUCUUGCUGCACUUUUAAACCAACAGUUUCUUUGUGUUCAUGGUGGACUUUCACCAGAAAUACACACACUGGAUGAUAUUAGGAGAUUAGAUAGAUUCAAAGAGCCACCUGCAUUUGGACCAAUGUGUGACUUGUUAUGGUCCGAUCCUUCUGAAGAUUUUGGAAAUGAAAAAUCACAGGAACAUUUUAGUCACAAUACAGUUCGAGGAUGUUCUUAUUUUUAUAACUAUCCAGCAGUGUGUGAAUUUUUGCAAAACAAUAAUUUGUUAUCGAUUAUUAGAGCUCAUGAAGCUCAAGAUGCAGGCUAUAGAAUGUACAGAAAAAGUCAAACUACAGGGUUCCCUUCAUUAAUAACAAUUUUUUCGGCACCUAAUUACUUAGAUGUCUACAAUAAUAAAGCUGCUGUAUUAAAGUAUGAAAAUAAUGUGAUGAAUAUUCGACAGUUUAACUGUUCUCCACAUCCUUACUGGUUGCCUAAUUUUAUGGAUGUCUUCACGUGGUCUUUACCGUUUGUUGGAGAAAAAGGUAUAAUUUUUAUUUUUAAAAAAAAUUUGUUUUAUUACUGUUACAUUUACUCCAGUUUACUAUCAUAGGCACAUACUUGCUAAAGGAAACCAAAGUCUAGUUUCACUGUGGUUACAGCUCUCCUUGUGUCAGUGGGUGUGGACAUAAGAGUCUCAAAGAUAUUUUAGUUAGCUGUUUACAGCCCCCAUGUGAGGCUGUCUGGGGGACUGGGAGAAGAUUUAUAAAUAGCCCAAUGUCUUCAGCUGUUGGAUUUUCUUUUUUUUUUUUUCUUUAGCUUAAAUCUUUUAUGAAGGGGUGGAGAGAUUGCUUUGCUUGAAAUGGGCCCUUCUGCAUAUCUUAACACCAUUUUUGGGCAUUCCACCGAAAUUCUUGGGGAAAUUUAGUAGCCUUCAUUUUAGCAAUAUUAGUCAUUUUAAUAGCUGUUCUAUACUUUAAGAGAAAUCAUAAAGAGAAAUUCAGAUUGUAACCCAAUAUUCCUUCUCUUAUAUAAAAAAUAUGUAUAAAAUUUUAGUAGUGAUGCCUUUCUAAUUUAGAGGAACACUUGUUAGUACAUAAUAGGCUUUUUGAGAGAAAAUAAAUGCUAUUUAAGAAA
rnacentral:lncRNA from 1 species